rfam:Ixodes scapularis strain Wikel colony gcontig_1108378777766, whole genome shotgun sequence.
GUCGGUGCGUCGUGUGCCGUCUUUUCUCGCAGUGUACUGGCGCUGGCAGCAGAAGUAUGUGCUCCCCAGGAGGGCGGGCAUAGUCGGGGCGGCCCAGUUCUGCGUAGCCUGGAGUGCCUUGUUCUACUGGAUCAACUACAACAAGCUGAGUGAGUGGACUUCGG